rnacentral:rRNA from 1 species
UACGUAGGGUGCAAGCGUUAAUCGGAAUUACUGGGCGUAAAGCGUGCGCAGGCGGUUUUGUAAGUCUGUCGUGAAAUCCCCGGGCUCAACCUGGGAAUUGCGAUGGAGACUGCAAGGCUAGAAUCUGGCAGAGGGGGGUAGAAUUCCACGUGUAGCAGUGAAAUGCGUAGAGAUGUGGAGGAACACCGAUGGCGAAGGCAGCCCCCUGGGUCAAGAUUGACGCUCAUGCACGAAAGCGUGGGGAGCAAACAGGGAUUAGAGUACCC